rnacentral:rRNA from 1 species
CCCUUAGAUGUUCUGGGCCGCACGCGUGCUACACUGAGUGGAUCAGCGGGUCAGGUUGCGCGAAAGUGUUUCCUAAUCUUGAAAUCCGCUCGUGAUGGGGAUUGACGGUUGCAAAUUUCCGUCAUGAACGAGGAAUACCUUGUAAGCGCGGGUCAUCAUCCCGCGCUGAAUACGUCCCUGCCCUUUGUACACACCGCCCGUCGCUCCUACCGAUUGAGUGGUCCGGUGAGGCUUUGGGAUCUGAGCGGAAAGAGCGUUUCGCUGUUUCUGCUCGGAAAACUCAGUCGAACCUUAUCAUUUAGAGGAAGGAGAAGUCGUAACA